GAAUAAGGUCACAUUUAUAGGUUCCAUAAAUUGGGUCAUGGGCAUGUCUUUGGGGGGGGUAUCAUUUAAUGCACCACAAGCAUCUUGAAAUUAUUCCUAAUUCUGGGGAAUAGGCCACAGUCAUGCUGGGGGCUUUGGGAGCCAGUGUUGCUCAAGUUUUCCUAUCUAUCGUAGUCUGGAUGUUGUUCCAUCAAAUGCCCCGAGGGAGGCAUAAGCUGUGUCUAACCUGCCCGUGGUGGCUCCAAGUCAUGCUGGAAUUAUGUUUCUUACCUUUGGUGAAGGACACAUGUGCACUACUGUGGAGAAACUCCUCGGCUAACUUUCCUUAACACACUUAAGACUUAAGGUCAAGUAUGGCCUUGACUGGGAGGAAGGGGAGGUACAGCCAUGAAAGCUCUGUGAGCACAAAUCAGACCUGCAGGUGGCAAAGGGAAGAAAUGAGCUCCCUACAUAUUACUGAUAUUGAGGAAUUCAGUAGGAAAUUGCUAAGCAGCUAAGUUUGUGUGUGGUCAGGAGGGGAGGUUUUCCUUUGCUAAAAGAAUAUUAUAUGUUCGGUUAGGAUAGAGAAGGUCUCCAGCAUGACAGGGAACCCGAGUUUCUGUGCAUCCCUGCCUGAUACUCAGCAGAUGGGAUCCUUACACCCCCAUCUGUCCAAGAAUCUCCAAGGUCAAAUCGCACUCUGAGAGUCUAAGAAUCAUCAGAGUGCAUCAGUGUGUGUUGCCAAUUCUGUGGAUCUGUGAUUAUCUUUCUCAGAGCAGGAUACAUAGAGGCCUUGGAUGUUCCCAUGGUAGAAUAAGCAUCGGCUGAGAGCCUUCCAUUAAGUGAAUAAUAUUGUAGACCAAAGAGAUCAUGUAGAACAUACAGACAGAAGCAGAAGAAAUGGGGCUUCUGUUAUUUUGCUUGUCUCAUCACGGCCCAAGUUUGGGGGAGUUCUACUCCCGCCCUGUGUUUGUCUCAACCAUAGGAAGAGGCUCUCAGAUAAGCAUCUCCUUUCCUGCUGAGAACCAGAAACCACCUGAGCCACAAGAAGGUUAAAAAUCAAGGAGUUUUGUGAGUAGAGACUUUCAUGGGGAGAUAAGCCACAGUUGAGUGGGGGAAAUGCCAGGAUCUAGUUCCAGUUGGUACAAAAGCAAACCUAACACUUGCGAUCCAGCUAAGUUUCCUGCUGGAGAAACAUGGAAUUCAUGGGGAGUGUUUGCAGAGAAAGGAGCAGACUUUAUGCAGACACCUAUUUUAAGUUCACAAGUGAAGAUAUAUGUUUGGUUCACACAUUUUUAAAUCCAGAGCUCAAGAAAGGCCACAGGUGUUACUUAACACCUGAUGAAACUUGCUGUAAUCUUGAACUUCUGGUCUAGAAAGGGCUAAAAUUAGCUAAGGAGUAAAGUGUUUAUAGAGGGAACUUAGAAACCUACCUCUUUGCCACAUAUUGUAUCCCAUUAAAUUGGAUUUUUAUAAUGAAUCAUUUUCCUUGUGGUAAUGACACCUAGGACGUUAGGCUUUAUUAGUUCAAUAACAUUCUGUGCCUUUAGAACAAUUACCAUCAAAUAGCAAUGUGAACUUUCAGCUGCGACUCAGAUGGCUGUAGCCGUAGUUGGAAGGCCAAGCCAUAUGCAGCUGUCACUAGCAACUAAGCAAUGCUUCCCUCCCUAGAGGGCACAGACAGCCUUAUUAUCUGGAUGAGACAACAUGUAGGAAAGGCAAUGCAGUGAGUGAGUCAGUGAGUCUUAUUUA